rnacentral:lncRNA from 1 species
UGAACUGUAAACAUGUAAUGUAUGUUGCUCUGAUAACAUGUAAGUAAAAACACAAACUUUAUUUUCUUUCUUGGCAAUUGAAAAAGGCAAUAUUGGGCAUGAGAUUUCAACUUUAUUCCUUCCAGACUUCCAACAAGACCACUCCAAAAGAAGUGAAGAAAUGGGUAUGUGGGAGGAGGUAACUAGCUAGUAGUCUUCACAUGGUGGAAUAUAAAAAAGAAAAACAAAAAGAAAAAAAGGAAGAAGAAGAAGAAGAUGAAGAAGACCAACUUUGGUUCUUUUUUUUUUACACUUUAAACAACACUGUUAUGAACCCUUAAGCAGAUUCUGGUAUCAGAACCACAUGCAGAAUCAGAGUCUUCGAUCGAUCUUCUUGAGUCCAUCUAUGGAGGACUUAAUCAACAACAUGACAACAUCAUCCAUAAAUGAUUUCUCAGAGCUUUCCUUCUUCUGUUUAUUGUAGUGUGUAAUGCUGGUGUUUGCCAUUUGGGUCGUCUUCAUAACUCUCCAGAAUUGUCAGAAUAUUCACGUGACCGCUCUCCAUGCUUCAUACGGAUCGCCCAAUCCGGCAUGGGAUCCGAGUUUUUAUAUCUCGACCCGAUUAAAAUACCUAACAUAACACUGCUAUAUUAACGGUCUGUUUGACUGUUUCGGGCCGGACCAAGAUCUGAAAUCUGGGUCCGAUUUGAUUACGAAAACUUUUUUAAAGGUUCCGACCGGCCGGUCAUGAAGCAGGUGGUCGGUGAUCUGCAGAAAGCUCUAGUUCCUUGUGAAGAAACUGAACCGGGUUCAUUGACACGGUCUUGAAGAUUGAUUACGGACCCUAAGUCCGACCCGAUUGUGAUUUUCACAUUCUGGUCCACAUUAGAUAAUAGAAUUGGGUAUAACAACAAAUAACCAUCUGUUACUGUUAGGUAGUUAUGUAAAAAAAAAUCAUUGUAUAAAAAAAUAAAUAUAGGAAAUAAGUAUACUAUAUCAUAAAUUACCCAAAAUUGAGGAUCCGCAACCUCCGAUCCGCUAUCUUCUUCCGCUCAGCUGCUAGAAUCUUCUCAUUCUCGGCAGCGCCACGACACGGAGGAAGGGCGGAAUAAGCAAGCAGGAGCGUGCCGGAGUCCGGUGUAGAAUCUGACCAGUAAUACAGCAAUCUACGGUGGAUGUGGAACAGCGCAACCGUCGAUCGCUAUUUGGUGCCGAAUCGGUGAGAUCGGGAAAGUGUGAUACAGUUUUUUUACCGACGUGGACGUGGGUAAUUAUUAAUUAAUUACUUCUCUUCUUUUUUAAUGUUAAAUUUCAACAAAAAGACUUUUUCUUUUUUACGAUGCAUUUACAAAAUCUACCUUGUAAUUUAUUAUAAUUAAGGAAGAUUGC